rnacentral:rRNA from 1 species
UACGUAGGGUGCAAGCGUUGUCCGGAAUUAUUGGGCGUCAAGAGCUCGUAGGCGGUCUGUCGCGUCGGCUGUGAAAUCCCGAGGCUCAACCUCGGGUCUGCAGUCGAUACGGGCAAACUGGAGUGUUGCAGGGGAGACUGGAAUUCCUGGUGUAGCGGUGAAAUGCGCAGAUAUCAGGAGGAACCCCGGUGGCGAAGGCGGGUCUCUGGGCCGAUACUGACGCUGAGGAGCGAAAGCGUGGGGAGCGAACAGG